GCUAUAGAAACUGGUCCUGAUGUUACACAGCUUGCCUUUCCCCUAUUUGCCAUACAUCUAUCCAGCUACUGAACACGGACAUCUUUUUGUUUCACAAGGAAUUACAUUAAAAAAUUAAGCCAUGAUUUCAUCUUGUUUUUGUUUCCGUUCUAAGAGAGUAUUAAAUAAUAUUAUGAGGCAUCCAGAAAAAAGUAGGAAUUGGUGAUAUUUCUUGAUAGCUUAAGAGCUUCCAGAUAUAAAAAGAAUACAAGUUGAAGGGUGCCUGGCUGGCUUAUUUGGUAAAGCAUAUGACUCUUGCUCUCAGGGUCAUGAGUUCAAACCCCAUGUUGGGCAUAGAGCCUACUUUAAAAAAGAAAAUACAAGUUGAGCAUAUUAUCCUACAACCUAAAUCCUUAUUCUUUCCUGCUUGAGUUAAGUACUUCAAGGUUUUCCUUAGCAAACCCCUAGGCCAAGCCAGCACAUUGCAUCAGAGCCUAUGGACAACCAUACCAAGACAACUCCUUCUUUUGUCCCUCCCAUCUAUACACAGAAAAAAAUUAGUUUCUGGAUGGCUGUUUCUUUAAAUAUGUCAUCAACAUCCUCCAACAUAUCACCUCCACUCUACAUUGAAAUUCUUUCUCCACAGAUGCACUACUGCCCCCAGAGAAAACCUCUCAUACAGAAUUAAGAUGUAAAGUCUCAGCACUUAAUGAUGCAGCUAGCAUGUAUGUCUGAUGCCAGAAGGUACACACAAGGAGGAAAAGAUAGAGGGAAUAGGGGGAAAAAGCACCCUGGGAAAUGACUGGGAAACACAGCUUCUCCAGUAAUGACUAAUGUUUAUCAAAAGCAGAGGCCAUGAGCAGCUCUCUAAUUGGCAGAAUUGAAACUGUCAAAUGCCUUUUUGUCAUGGCUAUGAUGAUAGGUAGUAAAAGGUUAUACAUUAGAGUGGAAUUUCUCCCUUUCCCAUUACAGGUUUAAAUAAAACAUUCACAAUCAUUUAGGAGGCAUAGAUGACCAAAAGGGACCGAUUCUUCCAGCAGCUCUCUAGGUUAUCAAGCUUACUCGUAGCUGUUGCAGAACCUUGAGGGAUGUAUCCACUUUGGAAAUCAGGUGGAAUUUAUGAGUAGUGUAUUGACUAAAAGAAUAUUUAAGCAAGACUUUUCAUUUGAUAGAAUAUGGAACUCACCCUAUUAGAUACAGAGAACUCUAUUUUUUUGUAUAUUUUUUUUAUUGGAGUUCGAUUUGCCAACAUAUAGCAUAACACCCAGUGCUCAUCCCGUCAAGUGCCCCACUCAAUGCCCAUCACCCAGUCACCCCAACCCCCCACCCACCUCCCCUUCUACUACCCUUUGUUCAUUUCCCAGAGUUAUGUGUCUCUCAUGUUCUGUCUCCCUCUCUGAUAUUUCCCCACUAUUUUUCUCUCCUUUCCCAUUUAAUUCCUUUCACUAUUUUUUAUAUUCCCUGAAUGAAUGAAACCAUAUAACAUUUGUCCUUCUCUGACUGACUUACUUCACUCAGCAUAAUACCCUCCAGGUCCAUCCACGUCGAAGCAAAUGGUGGGUAUUCAUCAUUUCUAAUGGCUAAUAUUCCAUCGUAUAUAUAGACCGCAGCUUCUUCAUCCAUUCAUCUUUUGAUGGACACCGAGGCUCCUUCCACAGUUUGGCUAUUGUGGACAUUGCUGCUAUAAACAUCAGGGUGCAGGUGUCCUGCCAUUUCACUGCAUCUGUAUCUUUGGGGUAAAUCCCCAGCAGUGCAAGUGCUGGGGGUAGGGCAGAUCUAUUUUUAACUCUUUGAGGAACCUCCACACGGUUUUCCAGAGUGGCUGCACCAGUUCACAUUCCCACCAACAGUGCAAGAGGGUUCCCCUUUCUCCACCUCCUCUCCAACAUUUGUUGUUUCCUGUCUUGUUAAUUUUCACCAUUCUCACUGGUGUGAGGUGGUAUCUCAUUGUGGUUUUGAUUUGUAUUUCCCUGAUGGCAAGUGAUGCGGAGCAUUUUCUCAUGUGCCUGUCGGCCACGUGUAUGUCCUCUUUGGUGAAAUUUCUGUUCAUGUCUUUUGCCCAUUUCAUGAUUGGAUUGUUUGUUUUUUGCUGUUGAGUUCAAUACGUUCUUUAUAGAUCUUAGAUACUAGCCCUUUAUCUGAUAUAUCCUUUGAAAAUAUCUUCUUCCAUUCUAUAGGUUGUCUUUUAGUUUUGUUGACUGUUUCUUUUGCUGUGCAGAAGCUUUUUAUCUUGACUAAGUUCUGAUAGUUCAUUUUUGCUUCUGUUUCCCUUGCCUUCAUAGAUGUAUCUUGCAAGAAGUUGCUGUGGCUAAGUUCAAAAAGGGUGUUGCCUGUGUUCUUCUUGUCUCACAUUUAGAUCUUUCAUCCAUUUUGGGUUUAUCUUUGUGUAUGGUCUAAGAGAAUGGUCUAGUUUCAUUCUUCUGUACAUGGCUGUUCAAUUUUCCCAGCUCCAUUUAUUGAAGAGACUGUCCUUUUUCCAGUGGAUAGUCUUUCCUGCUUUGUCGAAUAUUAGUUAACCAUAGAGUUGAGGGCCCAUUUUUGGGUUCUCUAUUCUGUUCCAUUGAUCUAUGUGUGAUACAGAGAAUUCUAAUGAGGUUGAGGCUAUUUUGUAUCAAGAGCCAAAGAGGAAGAAGAAAUGCCAGGAGCCUUUCUAUCAUUUCUAUCAUAAUUUCUGUGAGGUAGAAGUUCUCUUCAAAUUCACCUGACAGAUGAAGAGGCUGAGGUUGGGCAAGGGCUAAAUAUUGUCUAUAACACCACCUUACUGGCUCCCAGGCUUCCUUCAAGUGGUUGAGUUGGAAAGUGGAAUGGCCAAUAGUAGGUAAUGUGUGUAUGUGAUCAUUUUUGUAGUUGGCCUAUACAAUCUACACAUAACACAACAUGAGCUAAUUAAAGGAUAAUGCCUAUGGACUCAAGCUAGUUUGUUUCAAAGUGCUGCUAUCCGUGGUGAUCAGAGAAGAUCGUUUUUCAUUGAGGCUGUAAAUAUCAAGUGUCUCUUCUUGCCAAAAGAAGUGCUGCUGGGACAGGAAGAUAGUGAAGACCAUAGAAAAGAGGGUCUGUCUGGACAGAAUAGGCACUCUAGUCAAGGCAAUACUAGGUAUGAGUUCUUCUGAAUGAAAAUUCUGCGGAGUAACCUAAUUGCUCCAGGUGCAUCUUUUAUAGGGUCACAGUGUAGCUUAACAUUUAAACUAGGACUCUUUUGAUGAUGAAAGGGGAAUUAAUAAUCGUUUAUACCUGAACAACAGGUAUAAAUUGAAACUUUCUUGGGCAAAUACACAAGUAUGGUUGCCCUAUUUAUAUGGUAGUUGCAUAUAAGCAGACAUAAUAAAUUCAGUAUUGUCCUGGGGACAGACUAAAAGUUCAGUCAUUCUCCAAAGAUUAUUUAGUCAUUCAAGUAAAGCUCCACUUUAAGAAGCUUGCUGAUAUUAUUCUAUUAGUCUUGUCUAAUAGAAACAAUGCAAGCCAUAUAUAUGUUUACAUUACAUUUAAAAAGUUGCCACAUUAAAAAGGAGAAAUUUUAGUAAUGUAUUUUAUUUAUCCCAAUAUACCUAAUUAAUUAUCAUUUCAAUACAUAACCAAUACAAGAAAUCAUUAAUAGGAUACUUUGCCUUUCUUUUUUCCAGAUCAGACCUUGAAUAGGUAGGUUUUGAAUGUCCUGAGAUAGAGUGCUUCCAAGAGAAAAAGAGCGAAAGAACUCUUUAGACAUCCCAGAUAGAAUUGAAGAAAAUAAUGGCAGAAACUUAAAAAAAAAAAAGAACUAUACUUCCCCCCAGCAUUACUGAGCUAUAUUGAUUGAAAUAUAAGAACCACAAUGUUUUAUUCAAGUGGAUAGGAUUCUAAAUUUGAGUUGGAAGAAAAGGCGGGAGUGGAGAGGUAGGACUCAUAGGUAGAAAGAGAUGAGGCAAAAAGAGGGUACAUGAUGCCCAGGAAGUAAGCAUGAGUUUCUUCAUACAGAUAGCAUGUCUGGGCCCUCUGGAAGGAAGGGAGUAGGCUAUGCAGCUAUGGAAGACAGAACAAACUCUGCAUGUCUAGACAAGAAAGGAUAAAGAGGAUCUGGAGAAGACUGGGAGCCCCUUGAGGUCUGAGUAAACAACUAAUCUUUGUACUUCCAGCACCCAGCAUCAUGCAGAGGGUAACUUCUUAACUGUUGGGCAGAUGAAUUUCCAGGCGUGGAUGUGUACAAAGAAAUGGGUCCUGGGAUGAAGGAAGGGUAAGCACCAACCAUGGGAGGCCUUCAUGUUCUUAUGUAUGUUGUCUAAUACAAGGACACUGCUUUUCAAAUUUGACCAACUAUUCUUUCAGGGUGUGACUCAGAGGAAUAGGGCAUCCAAGACAUGUUACCUCAAAAUGAGUUUGGAGGAGAGCCUGAGAACUUCAUUACUGACUGGAGUAUAAUAAUACAUGCAGGUAUUGUCAGCACAAAGUUCACAUCUGACCUCAUCAAUAACAUGUGUAGAGACUGAUAUACAUCAGAUGUUUAGUAGCAUUUUUGCCUGAAACCAACAGUAGGAUGAGCCUCUUAACCAAUACCACAAUGUAACCUCUCAGAGAAAACAAAUAUUUAUUCCCUGUGUCAGUCAUUCGUUACCUACAGCUAAUAUUUAUGGCAUUCAUCCCUAGCACUAGCCAGCAGAGAAAACUUCGUCAAGCUUCAGAGAUUCCAGCAGCAGCUAGAUGGAAGAGGACUGAGGUUUUGGGGGAGAAAUUCACAACCUCCUCCUCCUGAAAAGAGGAGGUGACAGGUGAUCUGUCUGGGGAAGAACAUAAAUAAUCCCAAGCUGUGCAGAUGAGUGGCUGGGUGGGAAUGGGGAGUGCCUUCCAUGAGGGAGCUGAAUAUCAACCAGGAUGGACUGGAAGAAGCCCUAGGCUGGGUUUUAGCAUCUAUAUGGUCAUUGAACCCUGUGACCUCAGACAAAGUACUUAAUCAUUCUAGGCUUCAACUUUAUCCGAAGUAACAUAAAGGGGUUGGGUCAGUUUCAUCAAUAUCCUUCCAAUUCUGUGCUGAGCUGUUCAAGGUUAUUCAUAUUCCCAAACAUAACCUCAUCUUUUGGGAAUCUCAGGCUGAGUCAGAGCCUAGGACCCAUGGCUUGCUGAGAAGGGAAGCUCUGACAUAUUUGAAGAUGUUCAUCCAGACUGAAAUGUCAGGUUUUGGAUGUUCAAGACGAACUAUUUUUGUAAACUCCCAAAUUCAAGUAUCACCCUUCAGGAGAGCUAUUGCCUAUUCAGUAGAGAACAAAUAAAUGAGAACAUCAGAGAAGGUAUGGUUGUGCAGAGAAAGGAGCAUAGGGAUCCUUCAGUAGGAACUGAAACCAUAUUGCAAAAUCAUGUGAAUGCCUCAUUGAGUUGAGAUCUUUAGACUUUAUUCUGUAAAAGAUGCAGUAUUAUCACAAGUGUCUAUGCCAGGGAAGGGGUGACUUGAACAGAUUUUAGAAUAACAAAUCUGGUCAGCAGGCAGAACUUGGGACACAACUCUUUUAUUCAUUUACUUAUUUAUUAUACAAUUAUUGAGGUCCUCAGUGAAUAUUCUUUGACUGAAUAAGUGACCAUUUGGUCCCAGAAAAAUGUCCUUCAUUAGGCAUUUUGCUCCUAGGUCCUGGUGUCUAGUAAAAGUAGAAUUGCCCCUCAUUGAGCUAAUAUGUAAAUGUUGUUCAGGUCAGGUCUCACAAGUGGAUGAGGCCAUGGGGAAAGGGUAAAAAAAAAAAAAAAAAAAAACACUCUCUUGGAAAACUUGGUGCCAUUUCUGAUUUCCCGGGUCUGACUCCCUCUGGAAAUAGUUUUGCAUGCCCAGCUGCAUCAGCAUGUUGAGUUAUACAAGGUAGCAAGCUGUCCCACUGUAAUAGGCAUGACGUAUCAUUCCACUGAUGCAUGAAAUUAAAAAGAUGUGGCUUGCUAGAGAUACAGCAGAUAAACCAAACUUGCUUCUCAGUCCAUCUACUUUUAUUCACAUGUAAAAAUCCCAGAAGAAGAAAACUAAGAACCAGUCAGUCUGAUUAACUACCCAUAGAUUAGUGCCAAUAAACAGUUUCAUGCCAUCCACAGUUAAGGAAGUGAGGUGUUUGAGGUUUAUUGAGUUCCUACUGUGUGUGUGGCCUGCUAGGAGGUAAAAUAUAGAGAGGAUUAGCUAGAACCGCAGAAUAUCAGAGGAGGGGCAUUUCAUCUACCUGAGAACAUCAGUGAAGUCUUCUUGGAGGAGGUAAUUUGAAGAACUGAGACUUGAAGGGAGCCCAGAGAAGAGGAAUAGAGGGGAAAAAGCAGGCACAGAUAUACAGAGGUGGUGGGGAGGGGCAGUGAGUUGCCCCACUUUGGGCACCAUAGAUAAAAGCAUCUGCUGCAGACACUCCAACAUGGAUAGCAAAUUCCUGCCAGAAGGUGAAAAGAUACAGUGAGCAGGCGUUGGAGCAGAUGUGGCAAGUGCACAGGGUUAAUCAAGCAUUCUGCAUCCAGCAACAGAAAUAAAUGCCCCUAGAGCAAUAUUGGCAGCAGCUGGCUUGAGAUGGCACUGACUCAAGCUUUGUCCUCCUGGAAUAAGGGGAGACCUGUCACUCCAAAUGCAGGACUGCUCCUUUUGGGUCCCUCCUUGUUUGCAGUGAGGAUGAGAGGAAGGGGGAAGGGAAAGAAUUAAUAAUAGUGUCACUGACCUACAAUAAAGAAAGUAAUCAAUAAUCAUUCUAUGAAAGAAAAAAAAGGAGAUGAAGAAGAGGGCUAUUUGGUAAUUUGAAGGUUUCUAUUUGCUUCUCUGGCUUUGAUUUUACAGUUGGGAAGGAUGUGAGUGUUAUUACGUGGCAAUGAGGUUGCUAUGGUAACUCCUUAUUGUUUAAUAUAAGACUAGCUAAAUCUUAGAUAAGUUACUGCGAGAAAAAUUAAUGCUGCCAAAGGCCAGAUCUGGUGUUUGAUUCUCCUUUUUUGUAACAUUUAUGCCCAUUUCCCCUUCAUAACCUGCCCUUCUCCUGUAGGACAUCAAACACAACAGAAUGAAGGAUGGCUUUGGUCACUGGUGAACGGAUCCUCUACUACAGAAAACCAAUCAGGUCCUAGUGGUCAGGGAGAAGAAAGUCAAUAGAAGUGUGGGUGUCUAUGCCUAGGAAAAUUUAAAAGGUGGCUCAACCUUAGCUUUGCAGUCCAAUGUACCUGUACUUGAAAUCCAGCUUUGCUACUUAGCUAUUCUAUAACCUCAGGCAAUGAAACUUUCUGAAUCUAUUUCUUAAUCAUUAAAAUGGGGGAAAUAAUGCUAUCCAUUUCAUCAAAUUUUGUUGGAAAAUAAAUCACCUCCAAUUGUGAAGUAUUUAGUGUAGUGCCAGGCAAUAUUUACUACUCUUUAAUUAGCUAUUCUUUUUUCCCCUUUUUCCAAUUAUCAUCAUCAUCAUCACCAUUAUAUUAUAUUGUCUCAUUAAUAUUUCAAGGUCCAGUUCAAAAGCCACACCUUCUACCUUCUCUGACUUUCUUGGAACACACAAAGCUUGCUUCCCUCUGCACUCCCACUGGUCGGCCUGCAUGUAUCACUAGGUGGCACUAGGUUGAGGGCAAGGAAGUCAGAGAAGGGAGAAUCAUGGACAAGUCCUGAGAACUUCCUUUGCUCCAGGUCCUAUGCCAGGGCCCCACUUUCAUUGCCUUAUCAUUUGUUACAACACUUCCAUGGUGUGAAUGUGAUUAUCCUCUAUCAUACAGUGGAGGAAACUAAGGCUCAAAGAGACUUAAUACUUUGCUGACAUUCCCACUGUCCAUAAAUGGAAGAUCAAUAGACAUUCAGUUUCAAAACCCAAGCUUUUUUUUUUUUUUUUGGUUGGAGGGGCGUGGGGCACCUGAGUGGUUCAGUUGGUUAAGCAUAUCCAACUCUUGAUUUUGGCUCAGGUCAUGAUCUCAGGAUUGUGAGGCUCUGUGCUCCGUGUGCAGUCUGCUUGAGAUUCUUGGUCUCCCUCUGCCCCUCU
rnacentral:lncRNA from 1 species